rnacentral:rRNA from 1 species
UGGGGAAUUUUGGACAAUGGGCGAAAGCCUGAUCCAGCCAUGCCGCGUGCAGGAUGAAGGCCUUCGGGUUGUAAACUGCUUUUGUACGGAACGAAAAGACUCCUUCUAAUAAAGGGGGUCCAUGACGGUACCGUAAGAAUAAGCACCGGCUAACUACGUGCCAGCAGCCGCGGUAAUACGUAGGGUGCGAGCGUUAAUCGGAAUUACUGGGCGUAAAGCGUGCGCAGGCGGUUAUAUAAGACAGUUGUGAAAUCCCCGGGCUCAACCUGGGAACUGCAUCUGUGACUGUAUAGCUAGAGUACGGUAGAGGGGGAUGGAAUUCCGCGUGUAGCAGUGAAAUGCGUAGAUAUGCGGAGGAACACCGAUGGCGAAGGCAAUCCCCUGGGCCUGUACUGACGCUCAUGCACGAAAGCGUGGGGAGCAAACA